ACGAGAAAUUUACCCAAACCUACAAUGUUGCGCAGCAUUGGACCAAUUUAAAACAAUUAUAAAACAUGCAGUAAAAUUUAAAGGAAAUAAUAAAUUUAAUUUAAACAACCCCAAAAAGAAAAGGACCAAUCGCGCAAAUGGCCCCUUUUGAACCCUAAUAAAAUCCCAUUUUAAAACCCUAAGGCCAUUCCCUUUCUCUGCCACAACUCCUCUCAAAACCCCUCCUCUGCCGUUCCAAUCUCCUCCCUUUUCCGACCAGAUAACGGCUAACGAGAGCGCCCAACGAAUCUCUCGACGGUACAUGCGUGUAUGGGAAUUGCUGCGACGUGGGGCAUGCACGGCGCUGGAGGUUGCUGAGACGUGGGAUGUUGUUGCGAGGGAAGAACGUGGGCAGUUGCGGCAUGGGGCGAUGGUGGCGUCGAGGCUCUCUGCUAGUUAGGCUAGGGAUUUGGGUUAAUGACUUGGGCUUGUAAUGGGUUUGGGCCUUAGGCUUAGUUGGGCCCGGGCAAUAAUUGGGUAUUACAAUUACAAACAUAAUUUUUGGGAUAGAUAAGAGUUUAAUAAAAUUUUCAUAAAUAUAUGUAAAAACUAAUUAACCGAGCAUAAAUAUUCAUUACUUUAAGAAUA